UACAGGAAAAGUACAAUGCAAACCCAAAAU
rnacentral:piRNA from 1 species